rnacentral:misc_RNA from 1 species
GCGAAGGAAUAUGAUGCUGAGAGUGGGUUCACAGUUCAGCUGUCCUCUUCUUUUGUUUUCGUUGAAAAAAAAAAUUAUGAAGUUAUUUUCUUCAUAUUUUUGGUUUUUAAGUUUGUUUUGUGCUAGAUUUACUUCUCAUAUAUAUAUAUUUUUAAUUUUUGUAUGUUAUUCUGUGUUUUAUUUAGGUACUAGAACAAUUGGUGUUAUUA